UACGUAGGGACCGAGCGUUGUCCGGAUUUAUUGGGCGUAAAGAGCGUGUAGGCGGUUAGGUAGGUCCGUUGUGAAAACUCGAGGCUCAACCUCGAGACGCCGAUGGAAACCAUCUGACUAGAGUCCGGAAGAGGAGAGUGGAAUUCCUGGUGUAGCGGUGAAAUGCGCAGAUAUCAGGAAGAACACCCGUGGCUAAGGCGGCUCUCUGGGACGGUACUGACGCUGAGACGCGAAAGCGUGGGGAGCGAACAGG
rnacentral:rRNA from 1 species